GUGUGUGUGUGUGUGUGUGUGUGUGUGUGUGUGUGUGUGUGUGUGUGUGUGUGUGUGUGUGUGGUCAAGUACAUGUAAUCUGCAUACCCCCCUCUACAAACGAUAUGAUGGAUCAGCCUAACGUUAUGUCUCCUGUUGUUUAUUAAGAAGUAGAAUGUCAUGAAACUCAUCUGUUGAUGUCAUUGUGCUGCUGAAUGCCAAUACACACAACACUUUGUUUUGCAUGUGUGUGUGUCCGAUGUUUUUUUUGUACACAGCCGUCAUCGUGCAGUUCAUGUUUGUGCAGCUUCCUUGUUUUGCCCUGCAAGACAUUAUCGCCUCAUCGUUGUUCAGCCAGGAUUCUCUGUGCCCUCCCUCCUGUUUUUUUCUAACCUGUGUCUUAUCCUGCGGGGUAUGUGUGAUGGUGUGUGUGUGUGUGUGUAGCCGGGCCAGGAGGAGACGGAGGAGAGUUUGAGAACGAUCACAUUAGGUGCUGGCGACCGGCAAGUCAUCCAGACUCCCAUCGAUGACGCACUUCCUGUCAGCGGCAGCACCGUGGCGCAGCUCUUCAGACAGCUCGGCAUCGUGAACGUUUUGUAUCUGUUCUGCGCCGCGCUGACGGAGCAUAAGAUCCUGUUUCUGUC